GAAAACAUAUAUUUCUAUCCUUUUUUUAACUUUAUAUCAAACAGGAUGUCAUAGACAUGAUAGAUAGAAGAAGAUGUGGUAUCAGUUACAAUGACACAACUUUCCAUCCAAGUCACAAUUCAUAAAAGUAAACCAUUAUAGGUAAAAGUACGGUUGUCAACACGGAGCCUUGGCUCACACUAAACAGCAAGCUAUAAAGGGCCCCAAAAAUUACUAGUGAAAAAAACAAUCAAACAGGAAAACUAAUGGUCUAAUCUACAUAAAAAACGAGAAACACUUAUGAACCACAUAAACAAACG
rnacentral:lncRNA from 1 species